UACGGGGGGGGCAAACGUUGCUCGGAAUUAUUGGGCGUAAAGCGCACGUAGGCGGCAUUGCAAGUCGGAUGUGAAAUCUUAUGGCUUAACCAUAAAAGUGCAUCCGAAACUGCAGUGCUUGAGUACUUAAGAGGAUCGCGGAAUUCCCGGUGUAGAGGUGAAAUUCGUAGAUAUCGGGAGGAACACCAGUGGCGAAGGCGGCGAUCUGGGAAGAUACUGACGCUGAGGUGCGAAAGCGUGGGGAGCAAACAGG
rnacentral:rRNA from 1 species